ensembl:lncRNA
GCUCCCUGGUGUGUAUUGGUGGUAUAGUGGUUAGUGUCGCUGCCUUCCAAGGAGUUGACUCGGGUUGGAUUCCCAUCAUGCCCAAUUUGAAUGAAUUGACCUUGGUCAGUAACUUUAAUCAAUUUAUGAUGUCAGAGUUACUGACUAAACAUGCGGCCUACACUGACUAAACCACGUCAUGGAGGCGCACCAACAGGGGGCCGUUGGACCCUGAGUGGUGCGCCCUGGAGGCAGCGCUAGCGACCGGAGGUGCCGUGCCAAGCAGUGCCCUAUUGACUAAGAGCGCACUACGAUUCCCCACACAGCGGGGAAGCAACCGUUCUUUUAACCCAUUCCACUGACAAACAUGAUAUCCCCUAAUGCUACGGAAUGGGAAUAAGCCAUACGGAAAGAAAAACUACGCAAAAUCCGUCCGUGGCAGUAGAUUGCUCUACUAUUGGCACGGAAAAAAACAUUCCAAAUCAAUUAUAUUCAAACCAUGUAAUUCCGUAAAACAAUAGUGCGCUAUUGUUCCGGUUCCGUAGCCAGUGCCUAUUUUAAUGGCAGAGUGUGUGUGUGUUGUCUGCCUGUGUGUGCCAGAAUGUCAGUGGGUCAUUGGUGUUACAGAAUCGCUGCUCGGUGCCUUUUCCGAUGAUAUUUAUUCCUCAUCCAGCUGGUGGUAGUAGAGUGUGACCCUUUCUUCCAUAGGGUGAGGUGUUAGCAUCCACAUGAGUGGAUAGGUUACGGUAUGCAAUGGCCGACUGCUACUGCGACGCAAUCACAUUCUCAUUUUCUUGUGAAGAUGCAUCUCAAGUAACAGAAUGCACUUCCUAACAUAAACAAUGCAUCUCAAGUAACACUAUGCACCGCCUAACACAAACAACGCAUCUCUAGUAACAGAAUGCACCGCCUAACAUAAACAACGCAUCUCUAGUAACAGAAUGCACUGCCUAACAUAAACAAUGCAUUUCUAGUAACAGAAUGCACUUCCUAACAUAAACAAUGCAUCUCAAGUAACACUAUGCACUGCCUAACAUAAACAAUGUUGUGAUGCGUUUGAUGACCCCUGCAGCCUAUAGUCAGCAAAACGUUCCAUGCCAAAGGCCCAGCAUCUGAUGGACUAAUGCAGAUGAGGUCCCAUAAGCCUCAUAAAUGUACCAAGAGUGCCUUCACUGUGGGGGGCUAUAGUUUGUGUUGUCCAGCCUGUUUUGAGCAUGGUACUGAACAAUCCCGAUACUCAGUUAAAUAGAGAGGGUCACAUACCAAAUGACUUCUGAAAUCCUUGCUCAAAGACAUUACAUUACCAAAACAAGGAAAUGUAUGCUCGUGUAACCUGUGUGAGGGAUCAACAAGUCAAAUGCAGCUUCAUGUCUUUUGUUGUUAAGUGUCCUUUCUUCUGUUGUGGCAUUAUGUUCAUUCAGAUUAAAAUGAUUUCUGUGACACAUUUCAGCCAUUUUAACGGUCCAUUUACUCUUGUCAUCUUGAGGAACACUGCCAAUAAGACAGGGCAACAUACAUUUGUGAAUUGCUUUGCACAGUUUGUUUGAUCCACACUGGCAGAGCCUGCAGGGCUCCACACAAACAAGCCCUCAGUGAUCUUUAAACACUCAACCACACUUCAGUCAACAGCUCUGGUGUUCUCAUCUAUGCAUGAUGUCAAAAAGCCUAAGGUGGAGAAUCAAGGAUUUUUCACAAAGUCUGUUUAUCAGUGAUUUCUUUAACGCCAAGCUUUAGAGUACUUCUGGUUGGUUGAACCAAAUUUGAUAUUAACAUACAUGCAUGCAGGUUUGCAUUCUUUUCUUGUUCAGACUUGCUAAUCAAAACAUGGAUGCAAGAAUGUAUUCUCCUCUUGUUCAGACCUCCUGAAUGCUUGAGAGACUGUAUCCCAAAAAAAACGGGACCUACAGGAGAGGGUCUGUAUGUCCUGUUGGUAAGACAUCCAUAAAUACAGAAUAGGCCUAGUUAGUUAGAGCAAGCAAAUAGUUUAGACCACAAACUCUCCAAAGUCUAUGCACCUGUUUCUUCAAUCGUUUUGGUAUAUCAACAAAGGUAAGAACUCUUGGACCAAUUUUGAUGUGUUUGGUUUCACAUUGCAAAACUUGGAGGGUUUUAUUUUGUAUUUUGUAUUUUUUUUUUUUUUAAUAUGACAUGACUCAGGAUGGGGUUUUAAUACUUUGAAAGGACUGUUGAAUAUCUACCUAAUAUAGCAAUUUUUUUUUUUUUUACCAUUUCCCACCUGAAGACCUUGUGCUGCUGUCAAAACUUUGUACAAAAGAAAAAUAACUAUCGUUAUCUUUAAAGGGACAAAUCAUUUGUAUUUAAUAGAGGUGUGCAAUUUUUUGUAUUUGUUAUUAUACAAAUGUGUGCUGUGUAGUACUGCUGUGAAAAUACUUUGAAAAACGAUUGGAAAUGAAAGUUUUUUUUUAUUUUUUAUUAAAUGAGUUUUGCAGUUCAUUGUGGGUCCUUUUUACACACGAAAGCGGUGGUGUGGGGAGAGAAAAAAACAGUACCCUCAAGCAAAAGCUAUAACGUCAGUGAGGAGGCCAACUCACUAGAUGGCAUGUAUGUCCUCUUAUCAGCUUACAAAUUAUAGACAAUUCGAUGUUAGGUACUCCUUUCUCAUAAGUUAAAAUCAAAAUACAGAACUGUGGUAAUCUUACAAGUGCUGUAUGAUAUGAGUGGAUCUUUUGUUUUUUGGUCAGGGCCUAAUUACAUUAUACUGACUGUCCAAGAU